rnacentral:rRNA from 1 species
UACGUAGGGUGCAAGCGUUGUCCGGAAUUAUUGGGCGUAAAGAGCUCGUAGGCGGUCUGUUGCGUCGGCUGUGAAAACCCGAGGCUCAACCUCGGGCCUGCAGCCGAUACGGGCAGACUAGAGUUCGGCAGGGGAGACUGGAAUUCCUGGUGUAGCGGUGAAAUGCGCAGAUAUCAGGAGGAACACCGGUGGCGAAGGCGGGUCUCUGGGCCGAUACUGACGCUGAGGAGCGAAAGCGUGGGGAGCGUACAGG